rfam:Oryza sativa Japonica Group DNA, chromosome 6, cultivar: Nipponbare, complete sequence.
UUUAACCACAACCAUAAGUUUUCAUGUCCAACUUUGAUUGUCCGUCUUAUUUAAUUUUUUUAUUAGAAUUUUUGUUGUUAUUAGAUAAUACAACAUGAAUAGUACUAUAUGCGUAACUUAUGUUUUUUAAUUUUUUUCAUAAUUUUUUUUAAAUAAGACAGACAAUUAAAGUUGGACACGGAAACUCAUGGUUACGUUUAGA